GACGAACGCUGGCGGCGUGCUUAACACAUGCAAGUCGUACGGUAAGGCCCUUUCGGGGGUACACGAGUGGCGAACGGGUGAGUAACACGUGAGUAACCUGCCCACAACUUUGGGAUAACGCUAGGAAACUGGUGCUAAUACUGGAUAUGUGCUCCUGCUGCAUGGUGGGGGUUGGAAAGCUCCGGCGGUUGUGGAUGGACUCGCGGCCUAUCAGCUUGUUGGUGGGGUAGUGGCCUACCAAGGCGGCGACGGGUAGCCGGCCUGAGAUGGUGACCGGCCACAUUGGGACUGAGAUACGGCCCAGACUCCUACGGGAGGCAGCAGUGGGGAAUAUUGCACAAUGGGCGCAAGCCUGAUGCAGCAACGCCGCGUGCGGGAUGACGGCCUUCGGGUUGUAAACCGCUUUCAGCAGGGACGAAGCUUUUUGUGACGGUACCUGCAGAAGAAGCACCGGCUAACUACGUG
rnacentral:rRNA from 1 species